rnacentral:rRNA from 1 species
CAUGCCGCGUGAAGGAUGAAAGGCCUUGGGGGUAGGAAAGCUCUUUCCGCGGUAAAAAAAAAUGAGGGGGUCCGGGGAAAAAAAGGGGGCUAACUCUGUGC